rnacentral:rRNA from 1 species
AGUGAACGCUGGCGGUAGGCCUAACACAUGCAAGUCGAACGGCAGCACAGUAAGAGCUUGCUCUUACGGGUGGCGAGUGGCGGACGGGUGAGGAAUACAUCGGAAUCUACUUUUUCGUGGGGGAUAACGUAGGGAAACUUACGCUAAUACCGCAUACGACCUACGGGUGAAAGCAGGGGAUCUUCGGACCUUGCGCGAUUGAAUGAGCCGAUGUCGGAUUAGCUAGUUGGCGGGGUAAAGGCCCACCAAGGCGACGAUCCGUAGCUGGUCUGAGAGGAUGAUCAGCCACACUGGAACUGAGACACGGUCCAGACGCCUACGGGAGGCAGCAGUGGGGAAUAUUGGACAAUGGGCGCAAGCCUGAUCCAGCCAUACCGCGUGGGUGAAGAAGGCCUGCGGGUUGUAAAGCCCUUUUGUUGGGAAAGAAAAGCAGCAGGUUAAUACCCCGCUGUUCUGACGGUACCCAAAGAAUAAGCACCGGCGAACUUCGU